UACGGAGGAUCCAAGCGUUAUCCGGAUUUAUUGGGUUUAAAGGGUGCGUAGGCGGAGAAAUAAGUCAGUGGUGAAAGUUUGCAGCUCAACUGUAAAAUUGCCAUUGAAACUGUUUUUCUUGAGUGUAAAUGAGGUAGGCGGAAUGUGUUGUGUAGCGGUGAAAUGCUUAGAUAUAACACAGAACACCAAUUGCGAAGGCAGCUUACUGGGAUACAACUGACGCUGAGGCACGAAAGCGUGGGGAUCAAACAGGAUUAGAUACCCUGGUAGUCCACGCAGUAAACGAUGAAUACUAACUGUAUGCGAUAUACUGUAUGCGGUACAGCGAAAGCGUUAAGUAUUCCACCUGGGGAGUACGUUCGCAAGAAUGAA
rnacentral:rRNA from 1 species